rnacentral:rRNA from 1 species
CUUAGUGGCGGACGGGUGAGUAACGCGUGGGGAACCUGCCCUGUACAGGGGGAUAACACUUAGAAAUAGGUGCUAAUACCGCAUAAGCGCACAGUAUCGCAUGAUACAGUGUGAAAAACUCCGGUGGUACAGGAUGGACCCGCGUCUGAUUAGCUGGUUGGCGGGGUAACGGCCCACCAAGGCGACGAUCAGUAGCCGGCCUGAGAGGGUGAACGGCCACAUUGGGACUGAGACACGGCCCAAACUCCUACGGGAGGCAGCAG